GCCGAGGUAGCUCAGUUGGUAGAGCGCUUCCCUGAAGAGGAAUAGGUCCCCAGUUCGAUCCUGGGCCUCGGCA
rnacentral:tRNA from 1 species